rnacentral:rRNA from 1 species
GACUAACUACGAUAAGCUUUGGUGAGCGGUAAGUACGCUAUGACCCAAAGAUUUCCGAAUGGGGAAACCCAACUCGUAAGAGUUGUCUGUAUCUGAAUACAUAGGAUAUUUGACGGAAUACGCUGUGAACUGAAACAUCUCAUUAGCAGCAGGAGCAGAAAGAAAAAUCGAUUCCCUAAGUAGCGGCGAGCGAACGGGGAAGAGCCCAAACCAACGUGCUUGCAUGUUGGGGUUGUAGGACUGAUAUAUAAGAGUUACAAAAGUGUUUUAUAGCAGAACAAGUUGGGAAACUUGGCUAUAGAGGGUGAUAGCCCCGUAAGCGAAAUGAAGCACACUCUUUUCAGGAUCCUGAGUACGGCCGGACACGUGAAAUCCGGUCGGAAUCUGCGGGGACCAUCCCGUAAGGCUAAAUACUCCCUAGUGACCGAUAGUGAACCAGUACCGUGAGGGAAAGGUGAAAAGCACCCCGGAAGGGGAGUGAAAUAGUUCCUGAAACCACGACGCCUACAAGAAGUCAGAGCCCGUUAAUGGGUGAUGGCGUGCCUUUUGUAGAAUGAACCGGCGAGUUACGGUAUCGUGCGAGGUUAAGGUGGAAAGACCGGAGCCGCAGCGAAAGCGAGUGUGAAUAGCGCGAAUAGUACGAUGCUGUAGACCCGAAACCAAGUGACGUACCCAUGGUCAGGAUGAAGGUGAGGUAAAACUUACUGGAUGUCCGAACCGGUGCCUGUUAAAAAAUGCUCGGAUGAACUGUGGGUAGCGGUGAAAUUCCAAACGAACUUGGAGAUAGCUGGUUCUCUCCGAAAUAGCUUUAGGGCUAGCCUCAUUAUAAGCAUACUGGAGGUAGAGCACUGUUAAGCCUAGGGGCCCAUCUCGGGUUACCAAAGUUUGAUAAACUCCGAAUGCCAGAUAUGUAUGAAUGGGAGUCAGACGAUGAGUGAUAAGAUCCACCGUCGAAAGGGGAACAGCCCAGAUCGCCAGUUAAGGUCCCUAAAUAUAUGUUAAGUGGAAAACGAUGUGAUAGUGCAUAGACAACUAGGAUGUUGGCUUAGAAGCAGCCACCAUUUAAAGAGUGCGUAAUAGCUCACUAGUCGAGUGCCAUUGCGCGGAAAAUGUACGGGGGCUAAAAAUAUUAACGAGAAUGCGGGUAUGAGUAGCGAAAGACAGGUGAGAAUCCUGUCCACCGAAUGACUAAGGUUUCCUGGGGAAGGCUCGUCCACCCAGGGUUAGUCGGGACCUAAGGCGAGGCUGAGAAGCGUAGUCGAUGGAUAACAGGUUGAGAUUCCUGUACCAGUUGUAAUGCGUUAUUACCGAUGGAGGGACGCAGGAGGCUACCAGAUGCGCACUGAUGGAUAUGUGCGUGCAAGCAGUAAGUCUUGAAAAGAGUGAAAUGCUUUUUUCUAUAAGGACAAGCUGUGAUGCGGAUCGAAAUAAAGUAGAGAAGUCUGAGACGUCACACUGCCGAGAAAAGCUUCUAGGAAGUAUUACACUGCCCGUACCGCAAACCGACACAGGUAGUCGAGUGGAGAACACUAAGGUGAGCGAGAGAACCCUCGUUAAGGAACUCGGCAAAAUGACCCCGUAACUUCGGGAGAAGGGGUGCUCAUGGUAAAACAUGAGCCGCAGUGAAUAGGCCCAGGCGACUGUUUAUCAAAAACACAGGUUUCUGCAAAAUCGUAAGAUGAAGUAUAGGGGCUGACGCCUGCCCGGUGCUGGAAGGUUAAAAGGAGUGCUUAGUUUCGGCGAAGGUACGAAUUGAAGCCCCAGUAAACGGCGGCCGUAACUAUAACGGUCCUAAGGUAGCGAAAUUCCUUGUCGGGUAAGUUCCGACCCGCACGAAAGGCGUAACGAUCUGGGCACUGUCUCAACGAGGGACUCGGUGAAAUUUAAAUACCCGUGAAGAUGCGGGUUACCCGCGACAGGACGGAAAGACCCCAUGGAGCUUUACUGUAGCUUGAUAUUGAAUGUUUGUGCUGCUUGUACAGAAUAGGUAGGAGACGUAGAAGAUUGGACGCUAGUCUAGUCGGAGUCGCACGGUGGGAUACUACCCUCGUUGUAUGAACAUUCUAACACUGGUCACUCAACGUGAUCGUGGACAGUGUCUGGCGGGCAGUUUGACUGGGGCGGUCGCCUCCUAAAAGGUAACGGAGGCG